rnacentral:rRNA from 1 species
GACGAACGCUGGCGGCGUGCUUAACACAUGCCAGUCGAACGGAAAGGCCCUGCUUUUGUGGGGUGCUCGAGUGGCGAACGGGUGAGUAACACGUGAGUAACCUGCCCUUGACUUUGGGAUAACUUCAGGAAACUGGGGCUAAUACCGGAUAGGAGCUCCUGCUGCAUGGUGGGGGUUGGAAAGUUUCGGCGGUUGGGGAUGUACUCGCGGCUUAUCAGCUUGUUGGUGGGGUAGUGGAUUACCAAGGCUUUGACGGGUAGCCGGACUGAGAGGGAGACCGGGCACAGUGGCACACGGGAACGACCAGGAGGCCAACGGGAGCAAGCAGUGAGGGAUAGAGCAAGAUAGGCGGCAGCAGGAUGCAGCAACGCCGCGUGGGAGAUGACGGCCUUCGGGUAGGAAACCGCUUUCGACUAUGACGAAACGUGAGUGAGGGAAAUAGGGAAAGAGGCACCGCCUAACUACGU